CGGGGACAACACAAGGCUUUCCUAAAGUCCUUCACUAUGUCUGAUCUCUAGUUAUCUACCUCAAGCAGUAGAGCUUCAGCACACAUCAAGUCCAAUAUUUGGCAUAGAAAAAGUCUGCAUGCUUAAAGCUGCUGACUUCACAGGAGAUUUUCCAGGACUCCUCACCCACUUGACU